AGCAGAGACCUGGAGGAUGAUGGAGUUGGCCAGGGAGGAUGAUGGAGUUGGCAAGGGAGGAUGAUGGAGUUGGCCAGGGAGGAUGAUGGAGUUGGCUAGGGAGGAUGAUGGAGUUGGCUAGGAAGAGGAAGCUUUGGGUGUCAUGACCUUGAGGAGAGAGGCCAGCAUGUGGGAGGAAGUGGUGCUUGGAGCAACGGCCGGGAAAUGGAAUGUGAGGAUGGGGUUUGAAGAGGGUGGGGGAGCAGAUCAUCCAGGGCCCAUGGGCCACCUUAAGGUAUUUCUGGGGGCCAGGGUUGUGACCAACUGAACUUGGGGUCCUCAAAGCACAAGCCAUUUGAAGAUUGAAAGCAGGUGGCAGCUCCAGGGCCGGGCAGCGGGGCAUACAUAGAUGUGGGGUCGGGGGUUGCAGCCUGGCCAGCCACCUUGGCUGCCAUGGGUCGGGUCGGGUGAUCCUGAAACCCCCAGACCCAGUUGUCCAGGACCCCAGCUGAGAGGAAUCCCAGGUUAUACCGUGCCGUGGGAGGGAGGCUCCCAGCUGGCCAGGGGCCCUUCAGAAAACAGAGGCUGAAGCUUGGAAGGGCAGGUGGAGCAGAGCUGGUGGCAGCAGAGUGGGCUCCGGGCAGCUGGCACUGGGCAGAGCUGCAGAACAGCUGGCCGGGCCCCGCUCAUUCUUAUUUUCUCUGGGCGAGGCAGAUACAGUCCCUGCUCCCAUGACUGGCUUGUCAAGCAGUGGCCUAGUUUCUCUAUGGUAGAAUGGCGAUGGUCUCGGUGCCCACCUCACAGCACUGAGCGAAGGGUCAAUGUCAAUGAGGUGGAGCCCGUCACACUACCACAGCACCCGGUGCCCAGGAGGUGCUCAAAAAGCAUCCCCUGUUGCUUCAGACUGGGUCUGCUCUCAGAGCUCAUGGCCUCUUGGGGGAGCCUGCCCUGCCAUGAAUAAACCUGAGACCAGGGUCAGAGAAAGGGAUGCAGGAGCUCAAAGGAGGGAGCAUCACUCUGGCUCAGGCAGACAUAGGGAGAGAAAAGGAGGUGCAGUCAGGGUAGGCUUCCUGGAGGUGGUGUCCUUGAAGCCUAUCCUUGCAGGGUGGAUAGGACUCCCACAGGCAGACAUUGGUGGAGGCAGCCCAGGAGAAUGGAAGUGUGAUGCUUGGGGGCCAGUGUGGGCAAGAGGAUUUGUCUGUGUCCAAGUGCCUGGCUCAAGUCUGUGCUUGCUGAAUGCAACAGAGGCCUGGGAUGCUGGGAGGAACCUGAAAGGUCUCUCCUGCUGCCUCACUUUGACCUCCAAAUAGAUUUGACCCUCAUGUUAGAACCAGAAAUGGGAUGAGGUCAGGGGAGUGGAGAAAGUGAGAGGUAUUAGCAGACACAGGCCCCUAUGUCACUGGCAUCCCCCAUGCAGAGGGCUCCCCUUCAAGCCCCGCCCACACUCCAUGGGGAGUGACAGGUGGGCAAUAGCAUGGGGCUGGUUAGAAACCCCAGCCCUCAAGCACCCUUUCCCUGGGGACCAGGACAAAGCCAGGCCCAGGAAGCCAGUGGCCAGCUGUCUCUAUUCACCUGUUGGGGACGUGUCCUGAACUGGUUUGGGGUGGUUUUCUUGGAAAGGCUGUAUUUUGAGGUGGUGGUGGUGGGUUGUUGCCGACCUGGCCUAUCUUUUUGGGACUCUGGGACUGGGUAUCCCUGAAGGUGGUGGUGCUGGGGGCUUAGUCAAUUCCCCCUGCCUGAGGGCAGCCUGCCUGAGGCAGGGCCAGGUGGGACAGGCCUUGGUUGCUAUGCAGUUCCUCACUGGACCUCUUCCUCCUGGUGCAAAGAUGGGGCCUUCACCCCUGGGGUGCCCAAGCUGUCCCCUCACCAGGCUUCCUCCCUCGCAUGCCAGUGCCCUCCAGCUGCGUUCCUCUUGCCGGCCUCUGUUGCCUCCUGGCUCUCCCAGUACACCCUGCCACCUCCUUGCCCACCCUGCAGAGGUACCUGGCUCCCAGGUUGGGGGGAAGAGAGGAUCGGUGGGUGGCAGCACGCAGCCUCAGGCACUCACCAGGAGUGGGGGCUGGGGGUGGGGGGUGCCCAGUUGAUCUGCUCUGGCCUUCCUGACUCCUCUCCUUUCUCCUCGCUCCCUCCCGGGACACCUGGCCUUUUAAGAUUCUUCCUGUCCUGGAGCUGAAUAUGCAUCCCCAAACCUCUGGACUUGGGCCCUAGCUGCAUCCAGGGCCCAACAAACUAAUAAAAACAUCAGUCACUUAGAGAUCGGAUGUUAUGGACCUGGCCUCUUGCUAACAAUUUUACCUGAACUGUCUGGUUUAAUCCUCAACAAUUUUAUCAAUCCUAUUUACAGACAGAAAAUUGAAGCUGGAAAGUCAGUCUGUUCCCUUGCUCCAUGGCUUCCUUUGGAGGCAUACAGACUGUCAAAGACCCUCUCCUCCCCGAGAUUCCUCAGCCACACCCGGCUUCCUCUCUCUCCCAUCCUGUCUCCUCUAAACACGCAAAUUCCCACAGGUUUUCCCCACUCUGCCUGGGCAUUUCCCUGGAGCUUCUCUGGCUCCAGAAAUAUAGACCAGGGAAAGUUGAAGACAGGGACAAUAUCUGACAACCCCAACAUCCAGGCUAUUGUCACACAGCACUGAAGCAAAUGCAGGCUGGAGAGGUCUCCACUGCUCCGCAGACAUCUCAAACCAGCACUCCAAGACUGAGCUCACUGUUGUCUCCCAAACCUGCUUCUCCUUCUGGUUUCAUUUUAGCCAAUAACACCAUCCAUCCAUCAGCUGGGCAAGCCACAGCCAGGGAGUCCCCUGGACUUCCACCCCUUCCUCACCUCCCACCUUACUUCCCACAUCUCUAGGUCUGUACCCUUCUGUCCAUCCCCACGGUCCAAACUACCCCACACUGGAAGCAGUGCCUGGCACGCAGUGGGUGUUCCAUGAACAUGUGUUGAAUGAAUGAAUGCCUAGUUCAGGCUCUGGCCAGCUGCCUCCAGACUCCCUCCCUCCAAGUCUUUCUCUACUCAGUAGCCAGAAACACAUGGAAAAGCUCGAUCUAGUCCUGUCCCGCUCUGCUUCCAAACCUGCAGUGCCCUGCCGCUGAGUGCAGGCUUUUGCUCACACUCACUCUCCAGGCUUGCAAGACCCUGUGUCACUCACUGGCCCUGCCUGCCUCUGCAGCCUCCCCCGUCCACUGCUUUAUAUGGAUGUCCCACAUAACACUGUUCUUUUUGGCCACCUGCACCAGGCUGAUUCACACUUCUGUCUUUGCACGAGCCAGCCCCCCUGCCUAGAAAGCCUCCCCACCUCUCCCCAUCUGCCUGGUGAGCUCUCCCUGCUGCAGAUGCCCAUUCAAAGGUCACCCUGGCUAAGAGGCCCAACUUGACCGCCCUGUUUGUCUAUUAUAUCACUUCAAGCUCUGCCGUUAUUUAUGGAUGCACCGGGCCUCUCGGUGGACAGAGAAAAUCACCAGGCCCCAGGGGCCUUGUCUUACUCAUCCCUGUGUGGAGCUCCCAGCACAGGCCUUGGCACAGAAGGCCGGAGUGAAGGAAGCAUCAGUUGAGCCUGAGGCACCUGGAAGGCCAGAAAAAGUUUGCUGAUUCCUGCUCUACACUACGGAGGCUUAUAAUCUUGCUGUGAAGGGCUCUUUCUCAGAGCAGACAAGAUUAGGC